UUUGAACCUGCGAGAGCAGCACUGAUGCCAUUUUUGGCUGUGGGUUACGCGGCUAGGUGGACGUCCUGUUGGAAAGAUCAUUGAAGCGACGAACGGAGCACAGGAAACAACCUUUAGCGAGACGGUUCUAGCUAGAGCGGAAGACUAGGACUAUACGAAGGACUACUUGAACUACGGAACAUGUUCCCAGAAUGCGCCCCUCUCUUUAUGAUGGGUUUGCGACUGACUUGAAUGGUAUCACUGGAGCCUUCCAACUGGAGCCGAAGAUGUUGAGAGACUUGGAAAAGACGUCGUUAUAGAUGAGACCAGUGUAGAUGCUGAAGAGACCCAUCAACAAGAUGAUGU